GACGAACGCUGGCGGCGUGCUUAACACAUGCAAGUCGAACGGAAAGGCCCUGCUUUUGUGGGGUGCUCGAGUGGCGAACGGGUGAGUAACACGUGAGUAACCUGCCCUUGACUUUGGGAUAACUUCAGGAAACUGGGGCUAAUACCGGAUAGGAGCUCCUGCUGCAUGGUGGGGGUUGGAAAGUUUCGGCGGUUGGGGAUGGACUCGCGGCUUAUCAGCUUGUUGGUGGGGUAGUGGCUUACCAAGGCUUUGACGGGUAGCCGGCAUGAGAGGGUGACCGGCCACAUUGGGACUGCGAUACGGCCCAGACUCCUACGGGAGGCAGCAGUGGGGAAUAUUGCACAAUGGGCGGAAGCCUGAUGCAGCAACGCCGCGUGCGGGAUGACGGCCUUCGGGUUGUAAACCGCUUUCGCCUGUGACGAAGCGUGAGUGACGGUAAUGGGUAAAGAAGCACCGGCUAACUACGUG
rnacentral:rRNA from 1 species